GGUUUUAUUUUUUUUUCCUUUCCUACCUCAAUUUUUAGUUAUUCCCAGUUACUUUAUUUUUAUCAAUCAGACUCUUAAGGUUUUUGAAUCAAGAGUUGUGAUCAUGAUUAUAGUCAAAAUGUAGCGAUCGAAUCUACUUUUAAAUCAUCAUUUAAAUUUCUAAUAGCAUUUCUGGUGGCUGGCUAAUUUGGAAUGUCCUUUUGUUUUAUAUAAAAAAGUUUG
rnacentral:lncRNA from 1 species